UCAGGAUGAACGCUGGCGGCAGGCUAAUACAUGCAAGUCGAACGGUAAGGCCGAGUGCAGCAAUGCAUGAGGUACACGAGUGGCGCACGGGUGCGUAACGCGUAUGCAACCUGCCCCCAACCGGGACAAAACAGCUGGAAACGGCUGCUAAUAUCCCAUAGCCACGCGGGAGGGCAUCCUCCUGUGUGUAAAGAUUCAUUGGUUGGGGAUGGGCAUGCGUAUUAUUAGGUAGUUGGCGGGGUAACGGCCCACCAAGCCGACGAUGAUUAGGGGUCCUGAGAGGGUUAACCCCCACACUGGAACUGAGACACGGUCCAGACUCCUACGGGAGGCAGCAGUAGGGAAUAUUGGGCAAUGGGAGCAAUCCUGACCCAGCCAUGCCGCGUGAAGGAAGACGGCCCUAUGGGUUGUAAACUUCUUUUGCCGCAGAGUAAACCCGGUCACGUGUGGCCGGUUGAGAGUAUGCGGCGAAUAAGUAUCGGCUAACUCCGUGCCAGCAGCGGC
rnacentral:rRNA from 1 species